CCUACGGGAGGCAGCAGUAGGGAAUUUUGCGCAAUGGGGGAAACCCUGACGCAGCAACGCCGCGUGAUCGAUGAAGCCCUUCGGGGUGUAAAGAUCUGUCAGUGGGGACGAAACCUGACGGUACCCACAGAGGAAGCACCGGCUAACUCCGUGCCAGCAGCCGCGGUAAUACGGGGGGUGCAAGCGUUGUCCGGAAUCAUUGGGCGUAAAGGGAGCGCAGGCGGGAAGCCAAGUCAGCUGUGAAAACUACGGGCUUAACUUGUAGACUGCAGUUGAAACUGGUUUUCUUGAGUGAAGUAGAGGUUGGCGGAAUUCCGAGUGUAGCGGUGAAAUGCGUAGAUAUUCGGAGGAACACCGGUGGCGAAGGCGGCCAACUGGGCUUUAACUGACGCUGAGGCUCGAAAGUGUGGGGAGCAAACAGGAUUAGAUACCCUGGUAGUC
rnacentral:rRNA from 1 species